rnacentral:rRNA from 1 species
CAAUACCAAUUUGGGACCCUGACGAGCGACGCCGCGUGAACCAUGAAGUUUUUCGGAAUGUAGAGUCAUGACAAAGGGGAUGAAAAGCCAAUUGGUUAAUAGCCUUUUGGUCUGACAGUACCGUAAGAGGAAGCUCCGGCUAACUCCGUGCCAGCAGCCGGGGUAAUACGGUUUGAGGGAGCGUUAUUCGGAUUCAUUGGGCGUAAAGAGUUCGUAGGCGGUCAGAUUAGUCAGAGGUGAAAUCUAACGGCUCAACCGUUAAAUUGCCUUUGAAACUGUCUGACUUGAGUACGUGAGAGGAAAGCGGAAUUCUUGGUGUAGCGGUGAAACGCGUGGAUAUCAAGAGGAACACCCGUGGCGAAAGCGGCUUUCUGGCACGAUACUGACGCUGAGGAACGAAAGCCAGGGGAGCAAACGGUAUUAGAUACCCCGGUAGUCCUGGCCGUAAACGAUGGGCACUAGGUGAAGGAGGUAUCGACCCCUUCUGUGCCGCAGCUAACGCAUUAGGUGCCCCGUCAGGGGAGUACGAUCGCAAGAUUGAAACUCAAAGAAAUUGACGCUAGCCCGCAGCAGCGGUGGAGCAUGAGACGUAUUUCGAUGAUACGCUAAGAACCUUACCGGCGUUAGACAUGUAGUCGACCGCCAUGUAAACAUGUCUUCUCCUUCGGGAGCGGCUAGUCAGGUGCUGUUUGAAUGUGGUCAGCUCGUGUCGUGAGAUGUAGAGUGAAGUCCCGCAACGAGCGCAACCAUUAUCCUUAUUGCAAGCAACUCAUGCUGAGAAAUCUGUUUUUCUGCCGGUGAUAAACCUGAGGAAGGUAAGCCUGACGUCAACCCUCAUUGUCCCUUACCUCCCGGGCUACCCUCGUGCAAGAUGCCUGUACAGAGGAGGUGCUAUCCCUUGAUGUGCAGCGAAACACCAGAAAAGAAUGACUCAGCCUCGGGAUGGCAGUCUGCAACUUGAAUGCUUAAAGUAAUGAUCGGUAGCCAGCGCCGAUCAGGAGCCGUGGUGUUUAUUUUACCCGGCCUUGAACCCUUCACCGGUCUGGACAACAGAGUGACCGCCUCGGAAACUGGUGAACCUACUCCCUCGGGGAGAAGGCGCCCGACGUUGCUCUUUUGUGUAGUCGAUAUAAGCGA